CAGCAGCCGCGGUAAUACGAAGGGGGCUAGCGUUGUUCGGAUUUACUGGGCGUAAAGGGCGCGUAGGCGGACUGAUAAGUCAGGGGUGAAAUCCCAAGGCUCAACCUUGGAACUGCCUUUGAUACUGUUUGUCUUGAGUUCGAGAGAGGUAAGUGGAACUGCGAGUGUAGAGGUGAAAUUCGUAGAUAUUCGCAAGAACACCAGUAGCGAAGGCGGCUUACUGGCUCGAUACUGACGCUGAGGCGCGAAAGCGUGGGGAGCAAACAGGAUUAGAUACCCCAGUAGUCCCUGUCUCUUAUAC
rnacentral:rRNA from 1 species